UUGUGUUUCUAGAGGGCCCCAACUGGGCUACAACAGACUGGGAACUAAAGCAAAGAGAUGAGCAAACAUUGUGCUCCAUGGAAAGGGAUGUGGAGAAAUCAGUACAUAGAAAGGAAGGAAGGCCAAGUUGCCAUUACCAUAGGUGAGAAAGGAAGAAACACUGCUAAAUCCUGUCCAUUUGUAAAGGGAUUGAUUGGCUUGGCUGUGGAAAAUCCAUCUGUAAAGAUGUAUCAACGAAUGCUGGAUAAACAGUGGAAAAAUACUGGCUGGGAUCAGAGCUCCAAGCAAGAUCUUUAGAAAGCAACAAGCUUCCCUCUUCUCUCUUUCUCUCUCUCUCUCUCUCUCUCCCUCUCUCUCCUCCCUUCCUGCUCCUCCUUCAGUGGAAAUCUUCCAUCUUGCAUCAGCUUUCAAGACAACAUAUUACUUAUGCUAAAAUCCUUAAUGUGAGGUGCCCUUUUAAAGAGGUUGUAUCAUUUAAUAACGUUCAUUGUGUUAGCUCCCCCUAAAGUAAUCACUGACUUUGAUGAGAACAUGCUCCAUGUUCCUUUAUUUGAUCUGGGAAUAAAAUUACCACGUCUUUGCUUUGGUAUCUGCUCCUUUUGCUCAAAUAAAUAAACAUGAAGCUGUCAGUGCUGGGGAAAAUCCACUGCAA